GAAGAAUAAUUCUGAGUGGUCGAAAUUCUGACAUGGAAGGCCAACAAGGACAUUCUGAUGACAAAAGAAAGCCCUCUGAAAACCUGCACUGGAAGCUUUCCCAGAUCUCUUGGAACAGAGUUUUGGAGAUCCACAGGGGCAGCAAUGGGGAGGUUCUAUGGAGGAAAUGAGAAAUAUCAAUAAACUCAUCAGAAGUUUGACUGUGCAGAGAACGCGAACCAAUCAUUUGUCUUAAAACAUUUCCAAUGAAGCUACCUGCUGCUCAAUGCUUAUUGCCUAAACUGCAUUGUCAGUGAAGCAGAAAGUCAUAAUGGCUUCAUUUUAUACUUUUCUACAUGUUUGAACAAGAUUACAGGAUUCCAAGGACAAGUACCCAUUAAAGUUGAAUUAAAAUGAU